UAGGGAAUCUUCCGCAAUGGACGCAAGUCUGACGGAGCAACGCCGCGUGAGUGAAGAAGGAUUUCGGUUCGUAAAACUCUGUUGUUAGAGAAGAACAGCGCAUAGAGUAACUGUUAUGCGUGUGACGGUAUCUAACCAGAAAGCCACGGCUAACUACGUGCCAGCAGCCGCGGUAAUACGUAGGUGGCAAGCGUUGUCCGGAUUUAUUGGGCGUAAAGCGAGCGCAGGCGGUCAAUUAAGUCGGAUGUGAAAGCCCCCGGCUCAACCGGGGAGGGUCAUUGGAAACUGGUUGACUUGAGUGCAGAAGAGGAGAGUGGAAUUCCAUGUGUAGCGGUGAAAUGCGUAGAUAUAUGGAGGAACACCAGUGGCGAAGGCGACGCUCUGGUCUGUAACUGACGCUGAGGCUCGAAAGCGUGGGUAGCAAACAGG
rnacentral:rRNA from 1 species